rnacentral:rRNA from 1 species
GAGGGGCAGCGGGGGAGUAGCAAUACUCCUGCCGGCGACCGGCGCACGGGUGAGUAACACGUAUGGAACCUGCCCGUCACAGGGGGAUAAGCGGAAGAAAUUCCGUCUAAUACCGCAUAACGUCUUUCCGGGGCAUCCCGGCGGGACCAAAGGGUAACACCGGUGGCGGAUGGCCAUGCGCCGCAUUAGCUGGUUGGCGGGGUAACGGCCCACCAAGGCGACGAUGCGUAGGGGUUCUGAGAGGAAGGUCCCCCACACUGGUACUGAGACACGGACCAGACUCCUACGGGAGGCAGCAGUGAGGAAUAUUGGUCAAUGGGCGAGAGCCUGAACCAGCCAAGUCGCGUGAGGGAAGACGGCCCUACGGGUUGUAAACCUCUUUUGUCGGGGAGCAAAGAGCGGGACGUGUCCCGCGUCGAGAGUACCCGAAGAAAAAGCAUCGGCUAACUCCGUGCCAGCAGCCGCGGUAAUACGGAGGAUGCGAGCGUUAUCCGGAUUUAUUGGGUUUAAAGGGUGCGUAGGCGGGCUGUUAAGUCAGCGGUAAAAUUUGGAGGCUCAACCUCCACGAGCCGUUGAAACUGGCGGUCUUGAGUGGGCGAGAAGUAUGCGGAAUGCGUGGUGUAGCGGUGAAAUGCAUAGAUAUCACGCAGAACCCCGAUUGCGAAGGCAGCAUACCGGCGCCCGACUGACGCUGAAGCACGAAAGCGUGGGUAUCGAACAGGAUUAGAUACCCUGGUAGUCCACGCAGUAAACGAUGAAUACUAAUUGUCCGGCCGGAAUGACGGCUGGGUGAUACAGCGAAAGCGUUAAGUAUUCCACCUGGGGAGUACGCCGGCAACGGUGAAACUCAAAGGAAUUGACGGGGGCCCGCACAAGCGGAGGAACAUGUGGUUUAAUUCGAUGAUACGCGAGGAACCUUACCCGGGCUCAAACGACACAGGAAUGUUUUUGAAAGGAGGCAGCCCUACGGGGCCUGUGUCGAGGUGCUGCAUGGUUGUCGUCAGCUCGUGCCGUGAGGUGUCGGCUUAAGUGCCAUAACGAGCGCAACCCCCAUCGCCAGUUGCCAUCAAGUAAAGUUGGGGACUCUGGCGAGACUGCCGGCGCAAGCUGCGAGGAAGGCGGGGAUGACGUCAAAUCAGCACGGCCCUUACGUCCGGGGCGACACACGUGUUACAAUGGCAGGUACAGAGAGAUGCGAGGCAGCGAUGCCGAGCGGAACUUCAAAGCCUGUCUCAGUUCGGAUCGGAGUCUGCAACCCGACUCCGUGAAGCUGGAUUCGCUAGUAAUCGCGCAUCAGCCACGGCGCGGUGAAUACGUUCCCGGGC